rnacentral:rRNA from 1 species
AUGCUUGUUAAAACAGGGAGGGAUCUUCGGUAUGAUAUUGUUUACAAACUUCUGAAAUUGGUGCUAGUCCUUCUUGUUGCGACAACCGGUGUUGGGAGAGUCUUUUCAUCAAUGAACUAUAUAAAAACAAGCUAAGAAGCAAGAUGGGGCAAAAAUACUUGA